CCCUGCGCGGUGCGGGCACCCACUCGGUGCGGGUGCCCCCCGCGAUGAUCGGAUGCAUCGAGUACGACGGUUCGAAACCGAGCGCAGAGC
rnacentral:tRNA from 1 species